UUUCGUCCGUAAGUCCGGAUCUUCAUCAGUGCUAAUAAUAUGUAUUAGCACUGAUGAAGGUCCGGGCUUGCAGAUCGAAAG